rnacentral:rRNA from 1 species
AUUGAACACUGGCGGCAGGCCUAACACAUGCAAGUCGAACGAGUGGCGGACGGGUGAGUAAUGUCUGGGAAACUGCCUGAUGGAGGGGGAUAACUACUGGAAACGGUAGCUAAUACCGCAUACCAUCAGCUGUCCCCAGCUGGGAUUAGCUUGUUGGUGGGGUAACGGGGCACCAAGUAGACGAUCCCUAGCUGGUCGGAGAGGAUGACCAGACACACGGGAACUGAGAAACGGUCCAGACUCCUACGUGAGGCAGCAGUGGGGAAUAUUGCACAAUUGGCGCAAGCUGGAUGCAGCCAUGCCGCGGGUAUGAAGAAGGCCGUCGUGUUUUAAAGGACUUUCAGCGGGGAGGCGUUACCCGCAGAAGAAGCACCGGCUAACUCCGUGCCAGCAGCCGCGGUAAUUC